UACGGUGGGGGCAAGCGUUGUUCGGAAUUACUGGGCGUAAAGGGCGCGUAGGCGGCCUGCUAAGUCGGAUGUGAAAUCCCUCGGCUCAACCGAGGAACUGCAUCCGAUACUGGCGGGCUUGAAUCCGGGAGAGGGAUGUGGAAUUCCAGGUGUAGCGGUGAAAUGCGUAGAUAUCUGGAGGAACACCGGUGGCGAAGGCGGCAUCCUGGACCGGUAUUGACGCUGAGGCGAGAAAGCGUGGGGAGCAAACAGG
rnacentral:rRNA from 1 species